rnacentral:rRNA from 1 species
UACGAAGGGUGCGAGCGUUAAUCGGAAUUACUGGGCGUAAAGCGCACGCAGGCGGUUUGUUAAGCUAGAUGUGAAAGCCCCGGGCUCAACCUGGGAUGGUCAUUUAGAACUGGCAGACUAGAGUCUUGGAGAGGGGAGUGGAAUUCCAGGUGUAGCGGUGAAAUGCGUAGAUAUCUGGAGGAACAUCAGUGGCGAAGGCGACUCCCUGGCCAAAGACUGACGCUUAUGUGCGAAAGUGUGGGUAGCGAACAGC